GAUCCUGGCUCAGGAUGAACGCUAGCGACAGGCUUAACACAUGCAAGUCGAGGGGCAUCAUGAGGUAGCAAUACCUUGAUGGCGACCGGCGCACGGGUGAGUAACGCGUAUGCGACCUGCCUGAUACCGGGGUAUAGCCCAUGGAAACGUGGAUUAACACCCCAUAGUACUUUUAUCCUGCAUGGGAUGUGAGUUAAAUGUUCAAGGUAUCGGAUGGGCAUGCGUCAUUAG
rnacentral:rRNA from 1 species